GCAUAGCCGAGUUGAGAGACUGAUCGGCCACAUUGGGACGUGAGACACGGCCCCAAACUCCUACGGGAGGCAGCAGUAGGGAAUCUUCCACAAUGGACGCAAGUCUGAUGGAGCAACGCCGCGUGAGUGAAGAAGGGUUUCGGCUCGUAAAGCUCUGUUGUUGGUGAAGAAGGACAGGGGUAGUAACUGACCUUUUGUUUGACGGUAAUCAAUUAGAAAGUCACGGCUAACUACGUGCCAGCAGCCGCGGUAAU
rnacentral:rRNA from 1 species